AUGUAUGUGUGUACACAGCCCCUUCUGGGAAGGCAGCUGCCCUCUCACGUCUUUCACAGCAUCAGCUUUGGCAAGCAGCCGCCAUGGCAGAUCUCCCGCCCUCACCCUUCACAAUUUUGCCAAAACUUUAGAUAUGUCUGUAUUAGCCAAGUAUGUGUAUUAAAACUCUAUCUUCCAGGAUUGAGUCUGGUGUCUUUUCAACAAUGUUCACAGGCUCCCAACAUGUUAGCUUCCAGUAAACAAGGUGCUCUAAGAAAGAUCCUUGGUGUAAUAUAUUACUUCAUCCCCACUGGAUGCCAUGUGUAUGCAGCUGGCGCUUUGGCAGGCUGUAAUAAGCCAUUAGGACUCUGUUAGGCCCUGCUCUUAGCCCCGGGUUUUCUGUCUUAUGAUAUGGUUAUCCAUCAGUAGGCGCAGCAGCCAUAGCUGCAAACGGUUACUGAGUGAUUACUACGGGCCAGGUCAAUGCUGAGCAUGCUACUUCACCAUCUCACUGUCCUUUCGGAAAAUCACACCGCACUCAGAAGUGGGCAGCAUGGUGCAUCUGACAACAUAUGUGCUGUCAAACAGACAGCCUGGAUCCCGAAGGCUGUAACUCAGCACUCACACAUAUGGGGACGGAGAGGGACAGUGCUCUUCUCAGAUCCCUUUGCGUCAUUUCCGUGUCUCCCCUGGAUGAGGAUGCCCCUGUGGUUUUCCUUUAGAGGACUGCCCUGAGCUACUGAAGCCAUUAUACCAGCAGGAACUAAGAACAGAACGUGUACAUCUCCCCUGGGCGCAGCCAGCCCCUUGCUUCAGGUUGGGACACCUCUGAGACCUAACUUUCCCUCCGGAGCUCCCCUGAUCAGGCUGAAGCUGCAGUCCAUGGAGCUCUCCCUGAAAUGAUACACCUUUGCCUGGCUUUCUCUCCUUCCUUGUCCUGCGUCCCCCAUUCCCUUACUGGUAUCUCCCAGGAAUACUUCCUUAAUAAGUUACUUGUACACAGAUCCUUGUUUCAGGGCCAGCUUCUUGGGAACCCAGCCUAAGACAUUUUUUAAAAAACAGUUAAAUGGUCCUCUCUGGGAAGGAAUCUGCAAUCACCACUAGCUGGACAGCCAGGGUGGUAGGGGAAGUGGAGAUCUCUGAAUGAGAAUCCCCAUGAAAAGGCAAUGCCUCACAGCAUUCAGACCCAGUUCUUUGCUUGGGGGGGACAAUGAUUUAGUCCUUGUGGUGUGUGAACUCUGAUGCAUGACGUCCAGGAUGAGAUGUCAUUCUGAGGUUUGCCAGAUGACCACAUGGCAUUGCUUCAAGCUUUCAUCCAUCAUCUGUGUAGAAGGAGGGUGACACGUCUGCUGUAUAAAGGUGAUAGAGAGCAGACUUCCUGCUAGGGAUCAGGUUUUCCAUCCAAAUUCUUGUCGGGAAUCUUCCAAUGAAAAGUACACAUGAAAAAGCACUUACAGUUCUUUAGCACAUGUUAGCACAUGACUCCACACCUGACCGAGGCAAUAAAGAUGAGAACGUCUUAGGGCUCUUGCCACAUCCACAGUUUAGACGCACCGCCGCCAGCCUGGUGGAUUCAUUACGUGAGGUUUCUUCAACUUAGUUCAUCUGUAAGUCUUUAACAGCAAGUUCCAAAGUACAGUAAGAUGUUCAUCCUUUAAAAUGUGUAUUCAUUGACAUGCACUUCCAAGAUUUUAGGCCAGAUCUCAGUGCUUGAGUGAAUCACAUACUAUUUAAUAGAAAUAAUAAAACAUCGAUACAAAUAUAAAGACAUAAUCCGUAUAAAAGGCUUAUGUUUAUAAAAAUACUUUAGGUAACAGUUUUCCCCUGAGGGUUGGCCGUGUGUGUUGCAGCCAUAGAUACUGCUCGGCUCUGCAGUUCGCUCUCCAAAGUUCGGAGUUCAUCUUUAAAGGGAGUGGUGCUGGGCCCGGUCACGUGACCUGGCUGAAGUGGCUACCUCAGGCUGGCACCCGGGCUUGAUAGAAUGAAGACGAGAAUAGCAUCAGUGGGGCCUCCGAAAAAUCUGGAGAAGAUUUUUUUUCUUCCAAAUAUGGAAGAUACAAAGAUCAAGGAUGACAGGCUAGUGAUCAGGU
rnacentral:lncRNA from 1 species